rnacentral:lncRNA from 1 species
GUACACAUUAGGCUCCAGCUUCUCUCCUCUCUCUUUCUCUCUCGUUCAUUCGCACUGAGAUUGUUCACCUUGGCUUUUUCAGUGACUCAUCUCGGCUGCACGAAUGACGCAUUCUCCUGCGUCUGCUCGGACCAAAGGGAGCCUCGGUGCUGAAUCUUUGCCAUGGAUUCAUUUCCCCUUGUUUCAUGAGCCUCACCCAGAUCUGUGGCUGUGGACCCUGACUGGUGGAUGCUGAAUGUUGGGCUCACGGCCAUGCCCUGCUGCUUUUCAGGACUGGAGACGAGAAGACACCAAUGAACACAGAAAUAUCCGCGAUACGAGGGAACCCAAUUGUGGAGAGUGCAAAGGAGUUGUGACGCUGGCUGGCUUCCUCCCAAAGCGUUUGCCCUGAUGCCCCCCGCCGCAGCGAAAGCUAAAAAUACCCAGAGCUGAUUUCAGUGGUUUUCAGUCCAGUUAGGUGGGUGGUGAUCAGGAACAGUCCUCUUCCAACAUCAGAAGAAAGAAUUCUUCCUACAAGCACACUAAUGAGUUGUGCUGCAAAAUGUUGAAACACGACAACCAGCACCAGAUUAGUCAUGAGGCCAGUCACCAUAUGCUUGUUAAUUUGCACUAUUUGUGCAGGCCUACAAAGCUUGGUUAAGUAUGAAUUUUACGUGAGCUUGUUAGACCAAGAUUCAAAUUCAAAAACAGUUUGCUUCAUAAAAAAAGCAAUUAAAAAGGGUUGGUAACC